GGAGAUGUCGGACUGUAUGAUGGCGAUGUUGGGCUGUAUGAUGGAGAAGUGGGGCUGUAUGCAGGUGAAGUUGGGCUAUAUGCCGGUGAAGUAGGGCUGUAGCUUGGUGAAGUUGGACUAUAGCUGGGAGAUGUGGGACUAUAACUUGGUGAAGUAGGACUGUAACUUGGAGACGUAGGGCUGUAGCUUGGAGAGGUAGGGCUAUAGCUUGGUGAGGUUGGAGAAUAAGAGGGACUUGUAGGAGAGUAGGCUGGACUUGUUGGGCUGUAACCUGGUGAACUAGGACUGUAAGUAGGUGAUGUGGGGCUGUAACCAGGCGAGGUAGGACUGUAGCCAGGAGAUGUAGGGCUGUAACCAGGCGAGGUAGGACUGUAGCCAGGAGAUGAAGGACUGUAGCCAGGAGAUGAUGGGCUGUAACCAGGGGAUGACGUGGGAGAGAAUGCCAUCCCGCCAACAUAAGGUGAGAACUGAGCAUCCGAAAUGGGAGAGAGACGGAGAUUUGGGCUCAGCAAGUAACUUGGAGACAUCAUGCCUUCAUGAUAUGGAGUUCCUGAUACUGGAGAUCGAGCA
rnacentral:lncRNA from 1 species